rnacentral:rRNA from 1 species
AGCAGUGGGGAAUUUUGGACAAUGGGGGCAACCCUGAUCCAGCCAUUCCGCGUGAGUGAAGAAGGCCUUCGGGUUGUAAAGCUCUUUCAGCUGGAACGAAACGGUACGCGCUAACAUCGUGUGCUAAUGACGGUACCGGCAGAAGAAGCACCGGCUAACUACGUGCCAGCAGCCGCGGUAAUACGUAGGGUGCGAGCGUUAAUCGGAAUUACUGGGCGUAAAGCGUGCGCAGGCGGAUUGUUAAGCAAGAUGUGAAAUCCCCGGGCUUAACCUGGGAAUGGCAUUUUGAACUGGCAGUCUAGAGUGCGUCAGAGGGGGGUGGAAUUCCACGUGUAGCAGUGAAAUGCGUAGAGAUGUGGAGGAACACCAAUGGCGAAGGCAGCCCCCUGGGAUGACACUGACGCUCAUGUACGAAAGCGUGGGUAGCAAACAGGAUUAGAUACCCUGGUAGUCCACGCCCUAAACGAUGUCAACUGGUUGUUGGGGGAUGAAUCCCUUAGUAACGAAGCUAACGCGUGAAGUUGACCGCCUGGGGAGUACGGUCGCAAGAUUAAAACUCAAG